ensembl:snRNA U1 U1 spliceosomal RNA
AUACUUACCUGGCAGGGGAGAUACCAUGCUCAUGAAAGUGGUUUUUCCAGGGUGAGGCUCAUCCAUUGCACUUUGGGUGUGCUGAUCCCUGUGAUUUCCCCAAAUGUGGGAAAAUCAACUGCAUAAUUUGUGGUAGUGGGGGACUGCGUUUGUGGUUUCCCCUG